UUAUCCUCCUUCAAAUAAAAAAAAAAGAGGAAAAAAGAAGAAAAAUGUAUUUUUAAUAAAUCUCCCAAAAUAAUUUUCAGACAUUGUUGGCAGUCUUUCUGUCUUUUUCCCUUUCUCCAUUCAGAACUUAUUUUUUUUUUUUUUUUUUUUUUUUUUAAUACUGACUAACGAUGAAACAUACUGGUUGAAGAAUUGGAACAGUUGGGAGAAAUGAGGGCUCACAAACAAGACAGAGUAGCUUUUUAUGUUAUUAAAACUGUUUUCCCCUUAAGGAACAGAUUGUUAUGUAAUAGAAGAAGGAAGACAUCAUGAUGACCUAUCAAACUGUUGUCUUGUGCGCCUCUCCUGACACUUGCAGUAACAUGGCUCAAAGCGAUAGUUACUACAAAUGCAAGGAAGGGCGAGGAGGGAGGAAAAUUCACUCCAGUUGCUUCCCUGAGAGAGUGUCAGAGAAAAUUGGUUCUUCUCUUUGAGAAACUUGAAGACAUGCUUUGGAUAAUUCAUACAAAUAAGUAGGAGAGAUAAGACAUGUUGAAAGAAGGAAAUUCUGGAUGUUGAAAGUGUUACAAGCUACAAUGUUCAAGAUUUUCCUGAGCUAGAUUUAGCUGAAAAUCUGAGCGCAUACACUGAGUCUUCGAAAAAAGAUAAGAACUGAAAAUUGGACGUGAAUAAA
rnacentral:lncRNA from 1 species